rnacentral:tRNA from 1 species
GGGUAAGUAGCUCAACUGGCAGAGCAGCGGUCUCCAAAACCGCAGGUUGAAGGUUCGAGUCCUUCCUCGCCCGCCA